GGCAGUAGUAGCUCAGUGGUUAAGAUGUUCGACUGCUACUCAGAAGGUCAUGAGCUCAAAUCUCAGCACCACCA